rnacentral:rRNA from 2 species
AGAGUUUGAUCCUGGCUCAGAUUGAACGCUGGCGGCAGGCCUAACACAUGCAAGUCGAGCGGUAGCACAGAGAGCUUGCUCUCGGGUGACGAGCGGCGGACGGGUGAGUAAUGUCUGGGAAACUGCCUGAUGGAGGGGGAUAACUACUGGAAACGGUAGCUAAUACCGCAUAAUGUCGCAAGACCAAAGUGGGGGACCUUCGGGCCUCAUGCCAUCAGAUGUGCCCAGAUGGGAUUAGCUGGUAGGUGGGGUAACGGCUCACCUAGGCGACGAUCCCUAGCUGGUCUGAGAGGAUGACCAGCCACACUGGAACUGAGACACGGUCCAGACUCCUACGGGAGGCAGCAGUGGGGAAUAUUGCACAAUGGGCGCAAGCCUGAUGCAGCCAUGCCGCGUGUGUGAAGAAGGCCUUCGGGUUGUAAAGCACUUUCAGCGGGGAGGAAGGCGGUGAGGUUAAUAACCUCAUCGAUUGACGUUACCCGCAGAAGAAGCACCGGCUAACUCCGUGCCAGCAGCCGCGGUAAUACGGAGGGUGCAAGCGUUAAUCGGAAUUACUGGGCGUAAAGCGCACGCAGGCGGUCUGUCAAGUCGGAUGUGAAAUCCCCGGGCUCAACCUGGGAACUGCAUUCGAAACUGGCAGGCUAGAGUCUUGUAGAGGGGGGUAGAAUUCCAGGUGUAGCGGUGAAAUGCGUAGAGAUCUGGAGGAAUACCGGUGGCGAAGGCGGCCCCCUGGACAAAGACUGACGCUCAGGUGCGAAAGCGUGGGGAGCAAACAGGAUUAGAUACCCUGGUAGUCCACGCUGUAAACGAUGUCGAUUUGGAGGUUGUGCCCUUGAGGCGUGGCUUCCGGAGCUAACGCGUUAAAUCGACCGCCUGGGGAGUACGGCCGCAAGGUUAAAACUCAAAUGAAUUGACGGGGGCCCGCACAAGCGGUGGAGCAUGUGGUUUAAUUCGAUGCAACGCGAAGAACCUUACCUGGUCUUGACAUCCACAGAACUUUCCAGAGAUGGAUUGGUGCCUUCGGGAACUGUGAGACAGGUGCUGCAUGGCUGUCGUCAGCUCGUGUUGUGAAAUGUUGGGUUAAGUCCCGCAACGAGCGCAACCCUUAUCCUUUGUUGCCAGCGGUCCGGCCGGGAACUCAAAGGAGACUGCCAGUGAUAAACUGGAGGAAGGUGGGGAUGACGUCAAGUCAUCAUGGCCCUUACGACCAGGGCUACACACGUGCUACAAUGGCAUAUACAAAGAGAAGCGACCUCGCGAGAGCAAGCGGACCUCAUAAAGUAUGUCGUAGUCCGGAUUGGAGUCUGCAACUCGACUCCAUGGAGUCGGAAUCGCUAGUAAUCGUAGAUCAGAAUGCUACGGUGAAUACGUUCCCGGGCCUUGUACACACCGCCCGUCACACCAUGGGAGUGGGUUGCAAAAGAAGUAGGUAGCUUAACCUUCGGGAGGGCGCUUACCACUUUGUGAUUCAUGACUGGGGUGAAGUCGUAACAAGGUAACC